UCGUAUUCAAUUUAACAUUUGUCUUGUAUUUUAAAAUUUUAAACAAAUUAUUAUUAAUUGCUGCAAGAAAACAAGCUGGGAUGGGUUUGGCGGACUUUUACUUUGUACCUCCAGCUUCAAAUCUUAUUUCACUGUGCAAAGGUCUCAUUUUAACACAUGAUUAAAUCUGAAAGAUCAUCCCAAUAACCUUCUCCUUCCUCUACCCCUCCCACAGCCACUGCCAUCAUCCUUCUUCUCUGAUCCAAGUUGGAGGCUACAGUUAUAGCACUGACCCCUCCAAAAACAGGAGACACAAGUUGGCUGACGAAGCAUCAGAAUCUCCUUCAAGAGGCAGCACUUACUUUUGAUAGGUUAUUCCCUAAGAAGGUGAUGUAACAGGCACAGCUGCAGGAGGUAAUGAAGAAGGAAGAGUUAUUAUUGCAAAGAAGAUAAACAAACAACACUGGAAAAAACCUUUCUUCAGGGGAAGAACUUCUGAAUUGAUUUGUUGUUUGUGCACUUGUUUGUUUCACACAACACCGCAUGAAUAAAAUUAGCAGUGGAA
rnacentral:lncRNA from 1 species